GUUUUACAAGGGCAACCUCAGGAUAUUAAGCUUGAUCUCCUCCUCCUGUGGGCCUUCCACGAUAAACCGUCCACACUAUGGCCAGUCAAAUCGUGAUAAUCAUUUCUCAUGGAACUUGCACUCUCGGAUUUGAACCUUUUGGGAGUUCUUCCAUAGGUAUCUUCACUUGUUGCCUCACUCGCCACAGACACAGUAUCGGGCUUCAAGUCAUGUCCAGUCCUCUCAGAAUCAGCAUUGCCACUAGGCAACUCACCAUUUGAGACUGACUGAUGGUCCCUGUUCCUGCCUUUACUUGAUUGCGUAAAGAAAUCAUCUCCG
rnacentral:misc_RNA from 1 species